GACGAACGCUGGCGGCGUGCUUAACACAUGCAAGUCGAACGGAAAGGCCCUGCUUUUGUGGGGUGCUCGAGUGGCGAACGGGUGAGUAACACGUGAGUAACCUGCCCUUGUCUUUGGGAUAACUUCAGGAAACUGGGGCUAUUACCGGAUAGGAGCUCCUGCUGCAUGGUGGGGGUUGGAAAGUUUCGGCGGUUGGGGCUGGACUCGCGGCUUAUCCGCUUGUUGGUGGGGUAGUGGCUUACCAAGGGUUUGACGGGUAGCCGGCAUGAGAGCGUGACCGGCCACAUUGGGACUGAGAUACGGCGCAGACGCCUACGGGAGGCAGUAGUGGAGAAUAUUGCACAAUGGGCGGAAGCCUGAUGCAGCAACGCCGCGUGCGGGAUGACGGCCUUCGGGUUGUAAACCGCUUUCGCCUGUGACGAAGCGUUAGUGACGGUAAUGGGUAAAGAAGCACCGGCUAACUACGUG
rnacentral:rRNA from 1 species